rnacentral:misc_RNA from 1 species
UUUUGGCAAAGAAGUUGCAGGAGGAAGAAGCUGCAAGGGCUGCUGAAGAGGAGAAACGUCGUAAGGAGGAGGAGGAAAGGUGUGCCGCUGAAGCUGCUUUGCAACAGAAGAAGUUAAAGGAAAAAGAGAAGAAACUUCUGCGUAAAGAACGGACUCGUCUUCGAACACUUUCAGCUUCUAUUUUGUGUCGGCAUUUGCUUGAUCUUUUUGAGGAUGAUGUCGAAAAUCUUUGUUUGUCAUUGGAUAUUGA